rnacentral:rRNA from 1 species
UUGAACGCUGGCGGCAGGCCUAACACAUGCAAGUCGAGCGGUAGCACAGAGAGCUUGCUCUCGGGUGACGAGCGGCGGACGGGUGAGUAAUGUCUGGGAAACUGCCUGAUGGAGGGGGAUAACUACUGGAAACGGUAGCUAAUACCGCAUAAUGUCGCAAGACCAAAGUGGGGGACCUUCGGGCCUCAUGCCAUCAGAUGUGCCCAGAUGGGAUUAGCUAGUAGGUGGGGUAACGGCUCACCUAGGCGACGAUCCCUAGCUGGUCUGAGAGGAUGACCAGCCACACUGGAACUGAGACACGGUCCAGACUCCUACGGGAGGCAGCAGUGGGGAAUAUUGCACAAUGGGCGCAAGCCUGAUGCAGCCAUGCCGCGUGUGUGAAGAAGGCCUUCGGGUUGUAAAGCACUUUCAGCGGGGAGGAAGGCGGUGAGGUUAAUAACCUCAUCGAUUGACGUUACCCGCAGAAGAAGCACCGGCUAACUCCGUGCCAGCAGCCGCGGUAAUACGGAGGGUGCAAGCGUUAAUCGGAAUUACUGGGCGUAAAGCGCACGCAGGCGGUCUGUCAAGUCGGAUGUGAAAUCCCCGGGCUCAACCUGGGAACUGCAUUCGAAACUGGCAGGCUAGAGUCUUGUAGAGGGGGGUAGAAUUCCAGGUGUAGCGGUGAAAUGCGUAGAGAUCUGGAGGAAUACCGGUGGCGAAGGCGGCCCCCUGGACAAAGACUGACGCUCAGGUGCGAAAGCGUGGGGAGCAAACAGGAUUAGAUACCCUGGUAGUCCACGCCGUAAACGAUGUCGAUUUGGAGGUUGUGCCCUUGAGGCGUGGCUUCCGGAGCUAACGCGUUAAAUCGACCGCCUGGGGAGUACGGCCGCAAGGUUAAAACUCAAAUGAAUUGACGGGGGCCCGCACAAGCGGUGGAGCAUGUGGUUUAAUUCGAUGCAACGCGAAGAACCUUACCUGGUCUUGACAUCCACAGAACUUUCCAGAGAUGGAUUGGUGCCUUCGGGAACUGUGAGACAGGUGCUGCAUGGCUGUCGUCAGCUCGUGUUGUGAAAUGUUGGGUUAAGUCCCGCAACGAGCGCAACCCUUAUCCUUUGUUGCCAGCGGUUAGGCCGGGAACUCAAAGGAGACUGCCAGUGAUAAACUGGAGGAAGGUGGGGAUGACGUCAAGUCAUCAUGGCCCUUACGACCAGGGCUACACACGUGCUACAAUGGCAUAUACAAAGAGAAGCGACCUCGCGAGAGCAAGCGGACCUCAUAAAGUAUGUCGUAGUCCGGAUUGGAGUCUGUAACUCGACUCCAUGAAGUCGGAAUCGCUAGUAAUCGUAGAUCAGAAUGCUACGGUGAAUACGUUCCCGGGCCUUGUACACACCGCCCGUCACACCAUGGGAGUGGGUUGCAAAAGAAGUAGGUAGCUUAACCUUCGGGAGGGCGCUUACCACUUUGUGAUUCAUGACUGGGGUG